AGGGUUUGAUCAUGGCUCAGAACGAACGCUGGCGGCAGGCUUAACACAUGCAAGUCGAACGCCCUCUUCGGAGGGAGUGGCAGACGGGUGAGUAACGCGUGGGAACCUACCUUUCGGUACGGAACAACAGUUGGAAACGACUGCUAAUACCGUAUACGUCCUUCGGGAGAAAGAUUUAUCGCCGAUAGAGGGGCCCGCGUUGGAUUAGCUUGUUGGUGAGGUAAUGGCUCACCAAGGCGACGAUCCGUAGCUGGUCUGAGAGGAUGAUCAGCCACACUGGGACUUAGACACGGCCCAGACUCCUACGGGAGGCAGCAGUGGGGAAUAUUGGACAAUGGGCGCAAGCCUGAUCCAGCCAUGCCGCGUGAGUGAUGACGGCCCUAGGGUUGUAAAGCUCUUUCAGUGGUGAAGAUAAUGACGGUAACCACAGAAGAAGCCCCGGCUAACUCCGUGCCAGCAGCCGCGGUAAUACGGAGGGGGCAAGCGUUGUUCGGAAUUACUGGGCGUAAAGCGCGCGUAGGCGGGUCUUUAAGUCAGAGGUGAAAUCCUGGAGCUCAACUCCAGAACUGCCUUUGAUACUGGAGAUCUUGAGUCCGGAAGAGGUUAGUGGAAUUCCCAGUGUAGAGGUGAAAUUCGUAGAUAUUGGGAAGAACACCAGUGGCGAAGGCGGCUAACUGGUCCGGUACUGACGCUGAGGUGCGAAAGCGUGGGGAGCAAACAGGAUUAGAUACCCUG
rnacentral:rRNA from 1 species